UUGAAAUUGUGGAUUCUGCUUAGAACUCUGGGAGAAAAGUACUAUACGGAUACAAAUAGUCGAAAGACUUCUACGAAGAAACAUUAGAACAAAUUAAUUUGUUCGAAAAAUGCCUGUCAAAUUAUGUAAACAAAUUUCCGCAAUGUUUUCCAAACAUUCUACACUGUUGGAAGUAACUCUUCUUAUCCUCGUGAUUAGUCUGGUCAACGUCUCCGAUGGAAAUCAUGAUAUAAUUAUCGCGAAGACUGAAGUUAUACAGGGAAACUAUGGAAUUGAAGGGGGUUUGCAAGGAGGUGUGCUACGCCACAGACGUCCUGGCCACAGACGUCCUGUCCAUAGGCGCCCUGGACACAGGCGCCCUGGCCAAAUAAUGGUUAGUGCGCCGAAAGUCAUAAAUGAAAUCCAUUAACUGGAUCAAGUUGGAAAAUCUGAAAUUAUUUACAACUUCAAAAUUGACAAAUAAAGAAUAUGAACCUUAUGCC